rnacentral:rRNA from 1 species
UACGGAGGGUGCGAGCGUUGUCCGGAAUCAUUGGGCGUAAAGGGCGCGUAGGUGGCCUGCUAAGCGUGCGGUGAAAGUCGGGGGCUCAACCCCCGAUCGGCCGUGCGAACUGGGAGGCUUGAGCACUGUAGAGGCAGGCGGAAUUCCGGGUGUAGCGGUGGAAUGCGUAGAGAUCCGGAAGAACACCGGUGGCGAAGGCGGCCUGCUGGGCAGUUUUGCUGACACUGAGGCGCGACAGCGUGGGGAGCAAACAGGG